rnacentral:Y_RNA from 1 species
AACUGGUCCAAAAGUAAUGGGCUAUCUCAAUUGAUUGUUCAUAGUCAGCUACAGAGCAAACUCCUUGUUCAACUCUUUCCCCUCCUCUCACUACCACACUUGACGAGUUUAAA